GAAUAAUGGCAUUGUAAAGCGCUUUGGGUGCCUUGAAAAGCGCUAUAUAAAUCCAAUCCAUUAUUAUUAUUAUUAUUAUUAUUCAUUAUAAACACAGAGAAGAGUGUGUUUUCUCCAGCACAACGUAUAACAUUCCUCAGACAGUCCUCUGAACUCGAUCUCAUUUGCAGCUCGCUUGUCAGUCCUCUUUUGAUACAUCUUUUGUGUAACGGUCUUUUGCAUUUGAUGUUUGUUGCAUUUGAUGUUUGUUAAGCUGUAUGUCUGGAUUUUGUUCCUUUGCGCCCUCUGGUGGUGAACUGUGUAGGGUACAGCUUUGCUGUUUGGGUCUCCACCCAGCCACUUUUCUUUUGCUAGCGCACAUGGUUUCUGCAUGCUGCAGCUCACAGUUAGCUCCACACAUGAAGAAAAUAUAGUUUAAAGAGUGGAAAUAAUUGAAAAAGAAGAUGGAGGAUAAGGCAAUAAGGCCAUAAAGGACUAUUUAGCACCUCCUGGAUGUCAGCUCACGAGUUCUCACGGGUUGCCAAGACCAGAAUAAACCCUGUUCUAUAACUACAUCGUGCGUACGUCAAUCCUUGAGGGUACUACAGUGAGAACUCUGCUCUGCACCGGUAGAUGAAAGGACGCAGCCCCGCAGGAAAGUCAGGUGCCCCGAAAAUAAGUGUUGCCUCAGUUAAAGGACUCAAUAUAAUUAACCACAAGAAAGAGAAAUAAAAAGGAAAAAAGGACUGUAAAAAUAAUUCAGAUAAGUUUCCUUUUAUAAAUGAACAAAGGACUGGAAUAUUUCUUUUUUCUUUCUUUCUCAUUGUUUACAUUUCUGCUGUUUAAGUGACUGAUAUUUAUACAGUGUUAAGUUAAUGUUGUGAUGAGUAACCUGUGCAUUGUGCGUAUGGUGGGUUUCAGCAGUUUCUGUAAGAAACAGUAUUACUGGCUUGGACAAGACAUGUAAAGUGACUUAAGUAUACACACUGAGUGAUGUUUAAAGAGGAACAGUAAUUACUGUGCUUUAAAGUUGUAACAGUAAACGUAGAUUAAUAUUCAUUUGCUCCUCAACUACCAAAUCAAAUUUAAGCUGCUGCACCAUUACAUUAAGGCUAAGCAAGAUACACAAAAAACCCCAAAACCCUCCAACAAUGGCAGAGUUUGACCCUAAUCCAGAAGUCAGUGAAAAGGGUGAUGUGGAACAACUUUCUGCAGAUGAGCAACUACAAGCAGUUGAAGGCACAGCUGAUGAUGUUUCUACUACCUCACAAAGAGUACGACAGAGCCAACGAGUCCGUACGUUGACGGAAAAGGGCAAAGAACUGUACGGUGAGCACAUAAAGAAGGCUGCACAUCGUUUCAGUGUGCCCUAAGAGAAGUGGAAGGUUGUCAUUAAGGAUGCCAAAGGAGCUAUAGAUGGUCAAUGCUCAAAGGAUCUGCUACAAGAACAUGUUACCAAGGUUUUGAGUGCUUCUAAGGAUGUGAAUGCUGCCUAUGAUGACUUCAGACGUAUUGAAUCUCCAGAUAGUGACACAAGACGAAGGAUGGAUACGUGUGAAGCCAUAACAAAGACAAUUAUCGAAUCUGUAAGAAAGUGUCCAAGCCCAAGUAGUGCGGCGGUUCAAAGAGAUGAAGAACUUUGGAAGGACAGUGAGUCUUCAUCUAAAUCCGUAGCCUCAGAUGUGGAAAGUCAAAGGGAUGAAAUGGAAGGAUGGAAGGAAACUGAGUCUAUGCCUAAGUUGAUGAGUGUUAAGUCACACCACACUAAGCUCUCUUCUCAUUCAAGGGUUUCCUCUAGACACUCCAGCAGGCUCUCGGCUAAAAGACAAGAUGCAACUGCUGAAGUUGCAGCAAAUGAGGCUGCUCUCCAAGUUCUGCUUGAACAAGAAAUCCAUAUGAAGGAAAUUGAAAGGCAAGAAGCAGAAAUAGCACAAAGACAAAAGGCUCUAGAGGUUAAGCACAGAGAAGUAGAGCAACUUGAGACUGUAAAAAAGCUGAAUGCAGCAAAGGCUCGACAGCGGGUGUAUGAACAAAGUGAAUGUUCAGAUGAAGAAAUAUACAACCUACUUCACCACAGAUCUGACAAGAAAAAUGAAGUCAAGUCUGAAAACAAUGACCAGCAUAUGAAACGGUGUUCCUCGCCCCAAAAUGUGACACCGCAACAAGAGGUGAGCACAGAAGAUCUGGUCAAAGCAUUUCCAGUGUCUCUUAAUGCAAGUCGUCUUCUGGUACCAGAGCCAACAAUAUUCAGUGGCGAUCCUAUCAGAUAUAAUGAUUGGAAAAUUUCCUUUCAGACUCUGAUCGACAGGAAAAAUAUACCAGUUGAAGAGAAGACUUAUUACCUGAGGAAAUAUGUAAGUGGCCCUGUAAGGAAGGCAAUAGAAGGCUACUUCCCGCUUGGCACAGAGUCUGCAUACUAUGCAGCAUGGACAGUUCUCGAAGAGAGGUAUGGCAAUCCCUUCCUCGUAGCAAAGGCCUUCAGAGACAAACUUGACGCAUGGCCUAAGAUAAGCUCUAAAGGCAGUAUGGAACUUCAAGCAUUUGCUGACUUCCUUUGCUGCUGUAAGACAGCCACGUCGCAAAUGAAGCGACUUGAAGUGCUCAAUGACUGCAAUGAAAACCAAAAAAUGCUUGCAAAACUCCCAGAUUGGCUGACUUCAAGGUGGAACAGAAAGGUUACAGAAGUGCAAGAAGAGACUCACACCUUUCCAAGCUUCAGCCAAUUUGUAGAUUUCAUCUCACGGGAAGCCAAAAUUGCCUGUAAUCCCAUAACAUCUCUCCAUGCUCUGAAGCCAAGUGAAACUGAAGGGGCAAAAACAACAAGGAACAGAGGCAAUAGAGCAAAGGUGCUAGCAACUAGCUCAAAUGAAAGGACUGUUAGUGCUAGUUGUGUGUACUGUGAAAGGUCGGGUCACAGCCUACUUAAGUGUAGAAGGUUCAUAAAUGAGAGCAUUGUUGAGAGACUAAAGUUUAUUCAAGACAAGAAGUUAUGUUUUGGCUGUCUGAACUCUGGUCAUCGCUCCAAGGAUUGUGAAAGCAGAGAAACCUGUGACACAUGUAAUAAAAGACAUCCGACAUGUCUUCAUGACAGUCGCACUAAGGAAGACAGAACAAGGAGAAAUCAAACCAAGAACAGUGACAGGACAAGACAAACAAACUCAGACGUCUCACAAGACAACAGUGUCACACCAACAACAAGUGAAGCAACUUCUAACAGAGUCACGCAGAAUGUUGACGACACUCACACAUCUUCCAUUAUUCCAGUAUGGGUGUCAACCAAAGGUGAGCCAGAGCAUGAAAUUCUUGUGUACGCACUCCUUGAUACACAGAGCAAUACAACCUUUAUUCUUGAAGAAACGGCACAAGCUCUGCAUAUCAAAGGUGAAUCGACUCAGCUAAAGCUCACUACCAUGUCUUCAAGAAACACAGUUGUGUCUUGUCGCAAGCUCUCAGGUCUACAAGUCAGAGGGUUCUACUCAAAUAAGACCAUUUCCCUACCAGUAACAUACUCCAGAGACUUUAUUCCCGCAAACCGAGAUCACAUUCCAUCGCCUACAACAGCUAAGGCUUGGCCUCAUCUUGAAUGCAUUGCAAGUGAGAUCGCUCCACUACAAAGCUGUGAUGUUGGUCUGCUGAUUGGGUACAACUGCCCCCAAGCACUUGUUCCUCGUGAGGUUGUGUCUGGAAGGGAAAAUCAGCCGUUCGUCCAAAAAACUGAUCUGGGAUGGAGUAUUGUGGGUUAUGGCAAUCCAUGUCUUGAUUAUGGAGAUGCCUUCGGAAUAAGUCACCAAGUCAUUGUGAAGGAAGUAGUGCCUGACAUUCAGCCUUCUUCAAACCUCACCAACAAGGUUCACUAUGUCUACAGAACUCAAAUAAAGGAAAUUAUCUCUCCCACAGAGGUCAUACUCAGUGGUGAAAUUAAGGUGGGAGAGUUAUCAACCAGUGACCCGGAGGUUAAGAAGGUUCAAGUCCACAAGAUACAAGUGGAGGAACAAAGGUCCCUGUUAGAUCGCUUAUACAAGUUUUCCGACUGGUCGAGAAUGAUUAAGGCAGUUGGUAGACUCAAGCGCUAUGUGAAAGAAGCAAAGGAUCACAAGAGUAGAUCACACGACAUCAGUAGCCUACAAGAGAGAAAGGAAGCAGAGUUAACGAUCAUAAAGAUGGUUCAAGAAACAGCCUUUGCUCAGGAAAUAAAAACCUUGCAACACCAUGAUGUGAUGCAGAUGAAAGACAAGGUUAACAAGUUACACAAGUUAUGUCCAUUUCUUGAUGAUCAAGGCAUUCUUUGGGUAGGCGGACGCUUAACACAUGCAGCUUUGCACCCCAAUGUCAAGCAUCCUGCGAUCCUGCCAAGAGACAGUCACGUGUCGGCAUUACUGGUCAAACAUUAUCACGAGAAGACAUACCAUCAAGGACGAGGGAUCACCAUGAAUGAACUUCGAGCUAACGGAUUCUGGAUUCUUGGAUGCAGCAAGAUUGUGUCAUCUUACAUCUAUAAAUGUGUAAAAUGCAGAAGGUUCAGAAGGCGCACAGAGCAGCAGAAGAUGGCAGACCUCCCAGAGGAUCGGAUGGAGACCACACCGCCAUUCACCUACCGUGGGAUGGACUGCUUUGGUCCUUUUUAUGUCAAAGAAGGCCGCAAGGAGCUAAAGUGUUAUGGCUUGCUAAUCACUUGCAUGUGCUCCAGAGCAGUGCAUCUUGAAAUGCUUGACGAUCUCUCUACAGAUUCCCUCAUCAACUCCUUACGUGCAUUCAUGGCCAUCAGAGGUACAGUUCGCCAGAUAAGAUGCGAUCAAGGCACGAAUUUUGUCGACACUAGAAAUGAGUUUCUUGGAGCAUUUAAGGAAAUGGAUCAAGCCAAGCUAGGGAAACUGGACUGCGAGUUUCUCAUGAACACCCCAGCAUCUAGUCACAUGGGUGGUGUCUGGGAAAGACAAAUUCGCACCAUAAGAAGUGUUUUCACGUCCAUUCUGGAACAAUCAGCCAAACAACUCGACAGCUCCUCUCUGAGGACAUUCCUGUAUGAAGUCAUGGCAGUGAUUAAUAGCAGACCAUUGACUACUGACCAACUAUGUGAUCCAUCAAACCCAGAACCUUUAACACCGAAUCACAUACUAACCAUGAAGUCCACAAUCAUCUCUCCACCUCCAGGAAGGUUUGUGAAAGAAGAUCUUUAUCUCCGUAAGAGGUGGCGUCGUGUUCAAAUACUUGCCAACACUUUCUGGACAAGGUGGAAAAAGGAGUAUUUGUUAAAUCUUCAAGGCAGACAGAAGUGGACCAAAGAGCACAGAAAUGCUAAGAUCAAUGAUGUUGUCCUCCUGAAGGAUGAGAUAACUCCACGCAACCAGUGGAAGUUGGCAAGGAUCAUUGAAGUGUAUCCUGGAAAGGAUGGAAAAGUGAGGAAGGUGAAAUUGCUGCUGAGUGAUCCAACCCUGGAUAGAGCAGGAAAACAUACCUCCAAACCUGUGCACCUGGAAAGACCCAUUCAGAAGACAGUCAUUCUGAUGGAAGCGGAAGAAGAUUCUCCACCGCACUCUGCUUAAAGGAUAAUUCAUGAUAGUUCAUUCAAAAGCCGUUCAUUAGUUCAUAGACAAUACUUUAUUCUUUAAAAUCACGAGUGAUUGGUGGGAGUGUAACGGUCUUUUGCAUUUGAUGUUUGUUGCAUUUGAUGUUUGUUAAGCUGUAUGUCUGGAUUUUGUUUGUCUGUGAGCAGUUCUCACGGGUUGCCAAGACCAGAAUAAACCCUGUUCUAUGACUACAUCGUGCGUACGUCAAUCCUUGAGGGUGCUACAUUUUGUGUCAUCCAAACAGGUUGGAGGCUGUUACAGUCUUGUAAACUUCAUUCGUAAUUAUGGAAGCACAGAGUCAGGACACUACAUCUGUAAUUCUGUCCAUCCUGAGGAGAGUCCAGACUCUACAACAGAUCGCUGGCUCACCAGACAGACAGUUCUAAAACUGGAUGUUGAAGGAAAUCAUCAUACCGAGAAGGAACAACAAUCGUCCUAGCCCACCAUCGCCAACUGGAGGACAAAUAUUGCGGGCCGUGUGAGCAUGCAGUAGACUGGUACAAAUCUGACACAGGGACGGAGUGUGACUACAAAGAGCUGAAAUUUGAUACAGUUGCAAAAACAACCAAAUCCCACAGGAGUUCUCCUUCAAGUUAAGUUUUUUCUUUUUCUUUUAUUCCCUAGUCAAACCCCUUUUCCUAGUUUUGUUCAAAGAUACAUUUGCUGUUAACUACAGUUGGCACAGAUCAAACAGCAUUUUAAGGGGGGAUGUGGGGUGAAGCAUUAAUUUCCUACAUGAGUGGCACUGGCAGGAAGGAUUUCCUGCUACAGAACUGACACUAGGAGCUUAAUAAGUUCACUCUAAAAGAGAAUUCUUCAAAUCAAAGACUGUAUUUUUUACUUCCUUUUAAACUUUAGUAUAAGAUAGACGUGAACAAAUCUGACUUCCUGCAGAGCUUUCUUUUAGCUUUGAUCAUCUGCGUAAUUAUAUUUUUAGGCGGCAAAUUUCCCCUUAAGAAACAACAACAAAAGGGAGAAAAAUCAAUCAGUAACUGGUUGUGAACAUAUUGUUUCACAUAUUUAACUCAUUCCAUAUUUUAACACCCAUGUUAAAAUAUCAGUUAUGCCAAUCUUUUAGAACAUUCUGAUAAAUCAAGUCAGAAUCGAUAACAUAUAUUGUUAAAUGCUAUAAAGAAAAUCAUUUUGUUAAGUCGAAUUAAUGGAUGUGGUAGGCUCCACCUCAAAAAAGGGUGUCGGUGGAGCAAGAAACAGAGCAAUAGCACCACCUAGUGGCAUAAAUUAAAAUACAAAACUUUCUUUUUCGUCAUGUUCUUCUUUUUAUUUUUAUCUGAAAUAGAUAACAAACAAAAGAAUAUCAUAAUAGCUCAAUGCGUAUCUUUUGUUUUUGAAAAGAAAAACAAAACAGACUAAAGCGAUAAAAGAUGAUGAUCUGGUAUGUGUAACUUUCCUGUUCUACUAUUAACGCAAUUUUGUUUUUGGUUAUAAUUGUGUUUCCUUUUGCAACAUAGCUCUAUAGAUAUAUGUGAUUUUCUGUCACUGACUAAGCGGUGGUUUCUGGGACUUUCCGUGGGGAUUACAGUAGCUUCUCAUGACCUGUGAGAGACAGCGCAACACAACCAAACAGGAAACCCCGCCUCGUCGUGUUGCUGCACGCCUACAAACUUUAGCCUCUCCACAUUUCAGGCUCUUGACUCACUGCGUGAUGGCGACGAAGUUUUCACUGUGGUUUAAUAUCUGUGUUUGGCUCGCUGUGUCACUAUGCAUUUGCUUUGCCUCGUCCCAGCGUCACAGGUCAGUUAA